rnacentral:rRNA from 1 species
AACGAACGCUGGCGGCAUGCCUAACACAUGCAAGUCGAACGCCUGUAGCAAUACAGGAGUGGCGCACGGGUGAGUAACGCGUGGGAACCUGCCCUGGAGUGGGGGAUAACCGAGAGAAAUUUCGGCUAAUACCGCAUACGUCCUGAGGGAGAAAGAUUUAUCGCUCUAGGAGGGGCCCGCGUCGGAUUAGCUAGUUGGUGGGGUAACGGCCUACCAAGGCAACGAUCCGUAGCUGGCUGAGAGGAUGAUCAGCCACACUGGGACUGAGACACGGCCCAGACUCCUACGGGAGGCAGCAGUGGGGAAUAUUGGACAAGUGGGGAAACCCUGAUCCAGCAAUGCCGCGUGAGUGAUGAAGG